GACGAACGCUGGCGGCGUGCCUAAUACAUGCAAGUCGAACGCAGUGGGGACGGGUGAUUAACACGUGGGUAACCUCCCAUCAGAGGGGAUAAAACUUGGAAACAGGUGCUAAACCGAUACUGAUGGAUGAACCCGCAGUGCAUUAGCUAGUGGGUGGGGUAACGGCCAACCAAGGCCACGAUGCAUAGCUGGCCUGAGAGGGUGAUCGGCCACACUGGGACUGAGACACGGUCCAGACUCCUACGGGAGGCAGCAGUAGGGAAUCUUCGGCAAUGGGCGAAAGUCUGACGGAGCAACGCCGCGUGAGUGAAGAAGGUUUUCGGAUCGUAAAACUCUGUUGUUAGAGAAGCGGUAUCUAACCAGAAAGCAACGGCUAACUACGUGCCAGCAGCCGCGGUAAUAC
rnacentral:rRNA from 1 species